rnacentral:rRNA from 1 species
UACGAAGGGGGCUAGCGUUGUUCGGAAUCAUUGGGCGUAAAGGGCGUGUAGGCGGUUUGUUAAGUCAUGUGUGAAAUCCCUCGGCUCAACCGGGGAACGACGCUUGAAACUGGCAAGCUAGAGUACCAAAGAGGGCGGUGGAAUUCCCGGUGUAGCGGUGAAAUGCGUAGAGAUCGGGAAGAACAUCAGUGGCGAAGGCGGUCUGCUGGGCCGUUGCUGACGCUGAGGCGCGACAGCGUGGGGAGCAAACAGG